GGGAUUUUCCAGGCAAGAGUACUGGAGUGGGGUGCCAUUGCCUUCUCCUCAGCAUCCCUAGGCAAUCACUAAUCUACUUUCUGACUCUCUAUAUUGGCCUACUCCAGGUAUUUCAUGUAAAUGGCAUCAGACAAUAUGUGACUCUUUAUGCCUGUUAAUAUCACUUAGUAUCGUGUUUUCAAGGUUUAUCCAUGUUGGAUAUAUCAGAAAUUUCAUUUAUUUUUGUUGCUAAUAAUAUUACAUUCUAUCUUUUUUAUCAAUUGAUGAAUAUUUGAGUUCUUUCUACUUUUGGCAAAUACAAAUAACUGUGAAUAAUGUUAUAAACGUGCACAAAUUUUUGUGUGGACAGAGAUUUUUGUUUCUUUUGGGCAUACUUGUAGGGGUGCAAUUACCAGAUUAUAGAGUCACUCUAUGUUCAACCUCUGGAGGAAAUGCUUAAUGUUUUCCAAAGGGGAUGCAGCAUUGUCUGUACCAUCAGCAGUGAAUGUACCAUUUUACAUUAUCAUCAACAGAGGGUUCUAAUUUCUCCCAACUGUCACCACUUGUUAACUUGUGUAUUUUGUUAUAGCUAUUUUUAUGGCUGAGAGGUGAUACCUCACUGUGCUUUUAAUUUGUAUUUCUUUAGCAGCUGAUGAUGUUCAGUGUCUUUUCCUGUGUUUACUGGUCAUUUGUCUGUUGUGUUUGGAGAGAAGGAUUUAGAGCCUUUCCUCAUUUUUAAAAAAUUGUGUUGUCUAUGUAUUUAUUGAGUUGUAAGAAUUUUACAUAUACUAGUAACAGAUUCCUUAUCAGAUAUAUGAUCUACAAAUUUUUUCUCCCCUUCUUUUGGUUGUCUUCUCACUUUCUUGGUGGUGUCUUUGAAGCACAAACUUUUAAAUUUUGAUGAAGUUCACUUUAUCUAUUUUUGUUAUUAUUGUUGCCUGUGUUUUUGGUGUCACAUCUAAGAAACACUGCCUCAUCUGUGAUCACAAAAUUUAUACUUAUGUUUGCUUCUAAGUUUUACGGUUUAAACACUUACAUUUAGACCUUUGAUCCCUUUUGACUUAAGUUUUGUAUAUGAUGUGAGGUAGGUGCCCAAAUGUAUUAUUUUACAUGUGGAUAUCUAUUUGUUCCAGGAUCACUGUUAAAAAGACAAUUCUUUCCCAAAUCACACCUCCUUUGCUGAGUAUGUAUACAACUUGUUUUCAUCUUCACAGUGUGCAUUCCUUGUUCACAACCAACAUGCGCUUUAUUAGAAAAAUUCAGAAACAACUAGUGUGAAGAAAACAAACUUCAAUAUGUGUACCCAAGUAAGAAGGCUUUUGGAAAUAGACCUUCCUUUGACAGAAGCCACUGAAGAACUACCUAAAUAAAGGAAGGAAGACAACAAGAAAUCUACAUCCAACGCCUGGAUAUUGAAGUCAUCCCCACUUUGCAGAGAAUUCUAGAGACUUCACUUGUGGUAUUUGCUCCUUUCCACUUUUAUAUGAGCUAUCUAUUACUUUAAUAUCUUUUAAUAGAUAUAUAUUUAGUUUUUAUGAGGAUUAAAUAAGACAGGCAGGCUCUAGCCUGCAUCUUUUAGUGGUGAGGUGAGAUGUGUGCAUGGGAGGUUUCUGAAUCUUUUCUCAAAUCACAUCCCUUGUGAUAACCUUCCGUGGUCAGACUUCUUUGUCUUUCUUUUUUUCUUAAAGCUUUUCUAACCACUGGUUUUGAUAUGUCUAAUGUGAAGUAAAUUAUUGGUGGAAGGGCUUUCCUAAUGAAUGUACAGCUAAAUGAAUUGAAAAUCCCUUAAUGCUUAAGUAUGUCUGUUCCUGUUUCUGCUUUUGCUGCUUGAUCCUGUCUAUACAGAAGAGCGUUUCGUUUGUCUACUAGGGCGCCACUUGCUAGUGCCACAGGGUAGUCCUUGGAGAACAUUCUGCACCCCCCAAAGAAUUUAAAUGUUGAGAAUUAAGGAUGAAUGGAAACUUUGAUGGGAGGUUUUCUCGUUGGAUUCAUCUCUAUUAUUUUUCUCCCCCAUCUUGGUGAAUACAGUAGAAGAUGGUGGUGCAUAUUUUGUUGGUAGUAUUCUUAGCCAACUACCUCAGGAUAUAACAAGUUUAAUUUCCGUAGAUCAAAAUGAGUCAAAAGAAAUCCACCCCCCACCCCGAUUUUUCAGAUACUUGGUGAAGUUCCCAAAAUAAAUCUAAAAUAUAUUCAAUUUAAAAAAUAGUUACUUUCACUUUCUCGCAGACCUGUUUCAAGGGAGGCUGCAAAUUAUUCCAGUAUGAUCAGCUAGAUUGUAAAGGGAAGAACAGGUUGAAAAAUGGGUAAAAGCCAAGUACAUUAUUUCUUUAGUUUUAAUUUUUGAUACAGUUUAUAUAGAAGAAAACACAGCCAUUUAAAGUGUACUAAUGUGUUGAAUCUUGUGAAAUGUAUAUACGUGUGACCACACAAGCUGUAGAACAGUUCCAUGAAACCAAAUAUUGGGUUGGCCAAAAAGUUCUUUUGGAUUUUUUCUAGAACAGUUUAUGCAAAAAUCUGAACUUUUUGGCCAACCAAUGGUUCCUCCAAACUCUUUUGUAGUCUAACUCCUCCCUGUAUCCCAACCUGGACCUCUACUGAUUUGCUUUCUGUCACUUAUAGCUUAGUUUGGUUCUUCUAGAAUUUUACAUAUUUCACAAUUUAGCUAUCUAGCAGUAGACAUUUGAGUUGUUUCUGUUUUGUGGCUACUAUGAAGAAAGCUGUUAUGAUUGUCUAUGUACAAGUCAUUUUGAAGAAUUUGUUUGCAUUUCUAUUGAUUAAAUACC